rnacentral:rRNA from 1 species
AUGUUCGCCCCCUCAAAGUGGAUCACCAAGAGGAUCGACAAGCUAAGAAGGAAUUUUCUGUGGAAGGGAGAAGAGGAAGCAAGUGGUGGGCACUGUGCGGUGAACUGGAACCAAGUGUGCUCCCCAAAGAAAUUUGGUGGCCUUGGAAUUAAAAACCUUGCCCUCUAUAGUAGAUCUCUCAGAUUGAGGUGGGCCUGGUACACAUGGAAGUCACCCUCUCGGCCAUGGGUUGGAACCCAACUCCCCUGCUCCAAGACUGAUUUGCAGCUCUUCAACGCCUCUACAACCAUCAGACUUGGUGACGGAAAAUGUGCUCUGUUCUGGAAAAAUGCGUGGUUGAACGGAGCGGCACCAAAAGACAUUGCACCCAACCUUUUCUCUCUGGCCAGACGGAAGAAUGACACUGUCAAGAAUGCACUUCACUAG